rnacentral:ncRNA from 1 species
CAAAAACUCCGAAGUUGGCUGCACCUAAGUUCUUCUUUGAAUAAGGUUCGCCAACCGCUCAGCUAGCCGCUGUAAGGGUAGAGAUAGAAAUGCCUCUGCCUCCCGUAUUGGAAAGGUGUUUUAUGCUG